CCUACUGGAGGCAGCAGUGAGGAAUAUUGGUCAAUGGACGCGAGUCUGAACCAGCCAAGUAGCGUUAAGGAUGACUGCCCUACGGGUUGUAAACUUCUUUUAUAAAGGAAUAAAGUGAGGCACGUGUGCCUUUUUGUAUGUACUUUAUGAAUAAGGAUCGGCUAACUCCCUGCCAGCAGCCUCGGUAAUACGGAGGAUCCGAGCGUUAUCCGGAUUUAUUGGGUUUAAAGGGAGCGUAGAUGGGUUGUUAAGUCAGUUGUGAAAGUUUGCGGCUCAACCGUAAAAUUGCAAUUGAUACUGGCAGUCUUGAGUACAGUUGAGGUAGGCGGAAUUCGUGGUGGAGCGGUGAAAUGCUUAGAUAUCACGAAGAACGCCGAUUGCGAAGGCAGCUUACUAAACUGCGACUGACAUUGAUGCUCGAAAGUGUGGGUAUCAAACAGGAUUAGAUACCCGGGUAGUC
rnacentral:rRNA from 1 species